rnacentral:rRNA from 1 species
AUACGGAGGAUGCAAGCGUUAUCCGGAUUUAUUGGGUUUAAAGGGUGCGUAGGCGGUUUGCUAAGCGGGAGGUGAAAUGCCGGCGCUCAACGUCGGAAGUGCCUCCCGAACUGGUGGACUGGAAUGACUCUGCCGUGGGAGGAAUGUGUAGUGUAGCGGUGAAAUGCUUAGAGAUUACACAGAACACCGAUUGCGAAGGCAUCUCACGAAGGGUUGAUUGACGCUGAGGCACGAAAGCGUGGGGAUCAAACAGGAUUAGAUACCCUGGUAGUCCACGCAGUAAACGAUGAUGGCUAACCGCUGGGCUUAUCAGUUCAGUGGCCAAGCGAAAGCGAUAAGCCAUCCACCUGGGGAGUACGACCGCAAGGUUGAAACUCAAAGGAAUUGGCGGGG